rnacentral:tRNA from 1 species
GCCGCCGUAGCUCAGCCUAUGGCAGAGCGCCGGACUCAUAAUCCGGAGGUCCCGGGUUCAAAUCCCGGCGGCGGCACCA